rnacentral:tRNA from 1 species
GGGGGUGUAGCUCAGUGGUAGAGCGCGUGCUUAGCAUGCACGAGGCCCUGGGUUCAAUUCCCAGCACCUCCA